AGCCAUAUCGCUUUGAAACACCGAUUCCCGUACGAUCAGCGACGUUAAGCAAUGUUGACCCUUGUCUGUACCUAGAUGGGUGACUGCUCAGGAAUAACAGGUGU